CAGAGGUGGCAAGCGUUGUUCGGAAUUACUGGGCGUAAAGGGCGUGUAGGCGGUCUUCUAAGUCAGACGUGAAAUCCCCCGGCUUAACCUGGGAACUGCGUCUGAUACUGGGAGGCUUGAGUAUGGGAGAGGGAUGUAGAAUUCCAGGUGUAGCGGUGAAAUGCGUAGAUAUCUGGAGGAAUACCGGUGGCGAAGGCGGCAUCCUGGACCAUAACUGACGCUUAAGCGCGAAAGCUAGGGGAGCAAACGGGAUUAGAUACCCCGGUAGUCCUAGCCCUAAACGAUGAAUGCUUGGUGUGGCGGGUAUCGAUCCCUGCCGUGCCGAAGCUAACGCAUUAAGCAUUCCGCCUGGGGAGUACGGUCGCAAGGCUG
rnacentral:rRNA from 1 species